AGUGAACGCUGGCGGUAGGCCUAACACAUGCAAGUCGAACGGCAGCACAGUAAGAGCUUGCUCUUACGGGUGGCGAGUGGCGGACGGGUGAGGAAUACAUCGGAAUCUACUUUUUCGUGGGGGAUAACGUAGGGAAACUUACGCUAAUACCGCAUACGACCUACGGGUGAAAGCAGGGGAUCUUCGGACCUUGCGCGAUUGAAUGAGCCGAUGUCGGAUUAGCUAGUUGGCGGGGUAAAGGCCCACCAAGGCGACGAUCCGUAGCGGGUCUGAGAGGAUGACCACCCACAGUGAGACGGAACCACGCCCCAGACUCCUACGGGGGGCAGCGGGGGGGAAUUUUGGACAAGGGGCGCAAGCCUGAUCCAGCCAUCCCGCGUGGGGGAAAAAGGCCUUCGGUUUGUAAACCCUUUUUGUGGGGAAAGAAAACCACCGGGUUAAUACCCCGGUGUUAUGACGUUACCAAAAGAAUAAGCACCGGCUAACUUCGUG
rnacentral:rRNA from 1 species